rnacentral:rRNA from 4 species
AAUCCAUAGGUUAAUGAGGCGAACCGGGGGAACUGAAACAUCUAAGUACCCCGAGGAAAAGAAAUCAACCGAGAUUCCCCCAGUAGCGGCGAGCGAACGGGGAGGAGCCCAGAGCCUGAAUCAGCAUGUGUGUUAGUGGAAGCGUCUGGAAAGGCGCGCGAUACAGGGUGACAGCCCCGUACACAAAAGCGCAUGUGCUGUGAGCUCGAUGAGUAGGGCGGGACACGUGGUAUCCUGUCUGAAUAUGGGGGGACCAUCCUCCAAGGCUAAAUACUCCUGACUGACCGAUAGUGAACCAGUACCGUGAGGGAAAGGCGAAAAGAACCCCGGCGAGGGGAGUGAAAAAGAACCUGAAACCGUGUACGUACAAGCAGUGGGAGCACAGGUUUACCUGUGUGACUGCGUACCUUUUGUAUAAUGGGUCAGCGACUUAUAUUCUGUAGCAAGGUUAACCGAAUAGGGGAGCCGUAGGGAAACCGAGUCUUAAC